CCUGCUCCGCCUGUUGAUGAACCUGCAGAAAAGGCAGAGGAGCCAAUGGAGCACUAGUUGGUGGAUGAGUUCCUCUGUGUUAACGUUGCCUGAUAGUUGUGUCAAAAUAAUUCUUCCACUGAGAAAGCUUUUGUAACCAAGAACCAUGACAGCUGCAGAGAAUGUGUGUUACACAUUAAUCAAUGUUCCGAUGGAUUCAGAGCCACCUUCUGAAAUCAGCUUAAAAAAUGAUCUAGAAAAAGGAGAUGUCAAAUUGAAGACGGAGGCCUUGAAGAAAGUAAUCAUUAUGAUUCUGAAUGGUGAAAAACUGCCUGGGCUUCUGAUGACCAUUAUACGUUUUGUACUGCCUCUCCAAGAUCAUACCAUCAAAAAACUGCUGCUUGUCUUUUGGGAGAUCGUGCCAAAGACCACUCCAGAUGGCAGGCUUUUGCAAGAAAUGAUCCUUGUAUGCGAUGCAUACAGAAAGGAUCUUCAGCACCCUAAUGAAUUUAUCCGAGGCUCUACUCUCCGUUUCCUUUGUAAGCUGAAAGAGGCAGAACUGUUGGAGCCUUUGAUGCCAGCCAUUCGUGCAUGUCUAGAACAUCGUCACAGCUAUGUGCGCAGAAAUGCAGUUCUUGCAAUUUACACGAUUUAUAGAAAUUUUGAACAUCUUAUACCUGAUGCUCCUGAAUUGAUCCAUGAUUUCUUGGUGAAUGAGAAAGAUGCAAGCUGCAAAAGAAAUGCAUUUAUGAUGCUAAUUCAUGCAGAUCAGGAUCGAGCUUUGGACUAUUUGAGUACCUGUAUUGACCAAGUCCAGACAUUUGGAGACAUACUGCAGUUGGUUAUUGUUGAACUAAUUUAUAAGGUCUGUCACGCAAAUCCAUCAGAGAGAGCUCGGUUUAUUCGCUGCAUCUACAACUUACUGCAGUCAUCGAGUCCUGCAGUGAAGUAUGAAGCUGCAGGUACCCUAGUUACACUCUCCAGUGCACCAACAGCAAUCAAGGCAGCUGCCCAAUGUUACAUAGACUUGAUUAUUAAAGAAAGUGAUAAUAAUGUGAAACUGAUUGUUUUGGAUCGGUUGAUUGAAUUAAAGGAGCACCCCUCCCAUGAACGAGUGUUACAGGAUCUAGUUAUGGAUAUCCUCAGAGUGUUGAGUACCCCAGAUCUAGAAGUGCGUAAAAAAACCCUUCAACUGGCUCUAGAUCUUGUCUCUUCAAGAAAUGUGGAGGAGCUUGUGAUUGUUCUGAAGAAGGAAGUGAUUAAAACUAAUAAUGUAACAGAGCAUGAAGAUACAGACAAGUAUAGACAGCUGCUUGUUCGUACAUUGCAUUCCUGUAGUGUUCGGUUUCCAGAUAUGGCUGCAAAUGUUAUUCCAGUGCUGAUGGAGUUCCUUAGUGAUAAUAAUGAAGCAGCCGCUGCUGAUGUCUUGGAGUUUGUGCGGGAAGCGAUCCAGCGAUUUGAUAACCUCAGACCUCUUAUUGUUGAGAAGAUGCUUGAAGUCUUCCACGCUAUUAAAUCUGUCAAGAUUUAUCGAGGAGCUUUAUGGAUCCUUGGAGAAUAUUGCAGCACAAAGGAAGAUAUACAAAGUGUAAUGACAGAAGUUCGCAGAUCACUUGGAGAGAUCCCAAUAGUAGAGUCAGAAAUCAAGAAAGAAGCUGGUGAGCUAAAACCUGAAGAAGAGGUGUUUGUCGGUCCAGCCCAAAAAUUGGUGACAGAGAUGGGCACUUAUGCAACACAGAGUGCUCUCAGUAGUUCCCGACCUGCCAAAAAGGAAGAAGACAGACCUCCCUUACGAGGAUUCCUGCUUGAUGGCGAUUUCUUUGUUGCAGCUUCUCUUGCUACAACUUUAACUAAGAUUGCUUUACGAUAUGUGUCACUAGUUCAGGAAAAGAAGAAACAAAAUUCCUUUAUUGCUGAAGCUAUGCUGCUGAUGGCCACUAUUCUCCAUUUGGGAAAGUCUUCUCUUCCCAAGAAGCCAAUUACAGAUGAUGAUGUGGAUCGUAUUUCCUUGUGUUUGAAAGUUUUGUCAGAGUGUUCUCCUCUCAUGAAUGAUAUUUUCAACAAAGAAUGCAGGCAGUCCCUCUCUCAUAUGCUGUCAGCCAAGCUAGAAGAAGAGAAACUUUCCCAGAAGAAGGAAUCUGAGAAGAGGAAUGUGACAGUUCAGCCAGACGAUCCCAUUUCCUUCAUGCAGCUUACUGCUAAAAAUGAAAUGAGCUCAAAAGAAGACCAGUUUCAGCUUAGCCUUCUUGCAGCAAUGGGAAACACACAGAGGAAAGAGGCUGCUGAUCCUCUUGCAUCCAAACUUAAUAAGGUUACUCAACUAACAGGUUUCUCAGACCCUGUCUAUGCAGAAGCAUAUGUCCAUGUCAACCAGUAUGACAUUGUGCUGGAUGUGCUUGUGGUGAACCAGACCAGUGAUACUCUGCAGAACUGCACACUAGAACUAGCUACGCUAGGUGACUUGAAACUUGUGGAAAAACCGUCUCCUCUGACACUUGCUCCACAUGAUUUUGCAAACAUUAAAGCUAAUGUCAAAGUCGCUUCAACAGAAAAUGGAAUAAUUUUUGGUAAUAUUGUGUAUGAUGUCUCUGGAGCAGCCAGCGACAGAAACUGUGUGGUUCUCAGUGAUAUUCACAUUGACAUCAUGGAUUACAUCCAGCCUGCUUCUUGUACGGAUGCGGAGUUCAGACAGAUGUGGGCAGAAUUUGAGUGGGAAAACAAAGUUACAGUGAAUACUAAUAUCAUUGAUCUAAAUGAAUACCUACAGCACAUACUGAAGUCAACCAAUAUGAAAUGCCUGACUCCAGAGAAGGCACUUUCUGGUUAUUGUGGCUUUAUGGCGGCCAAUCUUUAUGCACGUUCCAUAUUUGGAGAAGAUGCACUUGCAAAUGUCAGCAUUGAAAAGCCAAUUCACCUUGGACCAGAGGCUCCUGUCACUGGUCACAUACGAAUCCGUGCAAAGAGCCAGGGAAUGGCCUUGAGUCUUGGAGAUAAGAUCAAUCUGUCUCAGAAGAAGACAAGUUUAUAAAUUUUCCCUAAUGUCUUUUCAGGUCUUUUACAAUUUAACCUUAGGCACACACCUCACGCUUGUUACAUACAAUAAGAAAAAGGAAAGGGUCCUGGAUAAACAAGGCUGUUGCCGUGAGUUUGUCUGAGCAGAGGAAAAACAACUUGAAAGUAGCUUCUGAAAGCUCUGAUUACAUUGUGGACUUCGCAGGAACUGAAGUUCUGGAUAUGCAGGUCUGCCUUGAUAAUGAAGUUAUGUCUCUACAUGAUCUCACAGCAGUUGUAUUACAGUCUGUGAAGUUACGCCAGAUUCACAAGGAUAUAGUAGAGCAAAACUUCGAACGAGCUAAUGUAUAGCUGUGGCUAUGCUGUAUUGUUCAAAGCUUUGUGCGAGGAGGUCACUAACCUAUUCCCUGCGCAGAAGGUAAGUGUAUUGAAUACACUGUGCUUGAGUAAGGUAGUGUUAUUCCACAACUCUGACUUCAGCAACUUGGGUAAGAACAGGAAUUAAGUUCCCAGUAGGAGUAAACAGAGCAAGAAAACUCACUGCUUUUCCACUGUAAGUUUUAGAAAGUCAUCGCACGAUGCAGCGCUGGCACAGCAGGAAGCAGGUUUCUCCGAUGUCCCUGUUCCCAGUGUAGAGUUGCUGCAAGCUGGGGCCAGAUUUCUUUAUUCACGGCCCAAUAAGGGGCCUAUUUAGGUGAUACAUGAGAAAACAGGAAUGUUUAUCUGAUGACUGGCAUUGAUAAAUAGGUGACUCUCAGUUACCUAGGAGGGGAAGGGGUCAUCCCAAGAAAACAUGAAGGUAGGUAAUAUAAAACAAGUAAGACCAUAGGAGAACAUAGUUUGUAUAUUGAGCUUUAAAAAGAUUUGUAAGUGGUUUUUCUCAGAAAUGUGAAGCCUCACGUGAGGGGGAUUCGCUCUGCAUAGCGUGCUUUUUGGCACAGAACUGCAGCUGGAGUGUUGAGG